rnacentral:misc_RNA from 1 species
CGGUGUACGAAAAAAAUAAAAACCUUCGACCAGCAGAAGGUGAACGAGCCAGCGGUUGAAUUUGUGUGACCCCUUGCGCCCCCCCCCUCUCUUCCCUCUCACACAUCUCUCUCCUUUUGGAAACGCGAAGACAGACGGCACACAGACAGACAGGGAAAGAGGCUGGUGGCGCGUCAGUGCAACGAAAGAAACUACAACAGGCACACCACAGCAACACAAAAAUAGGGCAAAAGGUGGCAUACACCAUUUUGUUUCGAGCUCGUUUUCUUUUCCUCGUCUUCUGUGCUGUUGUGCGACUGCUGCUGAACGAUCUCCUCCGAAUACGCUGGAUCUCAGCGUGUGUGCGUGUGCGUUCUUUUUUCGAGGGGUCUCUCUCUUUUCGCUCACACAUUACACACAAGCCUCUGACGCUCUCCCUCUGCGCUUUCAGCAGUAGCGCGGCGGAGAGGGUCCGUGUAACGUUGCUGCACUGCUUCGACUCGCUCACACCUCCGCAUACGCUCACGAGCGUGUGUACAGGCACACGCGUACCCUCGACUCUCUCACCCCCACCCCUUUUUUUGUCUCUCACUCCUUCUCUUUUUCUUGUCCUAUUAAAAGCCAAAGAAGAAAGGGGUGAGAGGCAGCACAUCAAAAAGUAAGAGAAGAGGGACAAGUAGGAGCCUCAGCACAUACAUACACACGCACAUACGCACGGGUCUACACGUCUGGCUGCCUCUGUGCAUGGGGGCGAGUACACUGCCAACAACCUCCCCCGCUCCUUCUCUCUUUGCCUCGUGUUUCCGUCGCUGGCCUUCCCCUCCGCAUUUUUCCUCGUCGCAAGCAAGCUCGCAUACACCUAUACGUUGGCACACAAACACACUCCCUCCCUCCUCUCUCUACCAGGUGUGAGCUGCGUCGUCUCUGUGCCCUUUCUCUUUUUGCCUCUGUUCCUCCUUGCCCUUUCGAAACGACAGCCUACAUACACACAGGUAUAUAUAUAUAUAACCACACCUCUUGUACUCUGUCUCUCUCUCUCUCGCUUUCUGGGUGCCCUCUCCUUUUUUCUUCGUCCUUUCGCUGGUGUGUGUGUGUGUGUGUGCAUACCAGUGCCUUCGUCGCUCCUUCCUCCUCCCCCCCCUCCUCCCCUUCCUCUCUCGUUUGCCAUUGCUACUACUACUACCACUACCGCGACCAUUACUACUGCAUCUUUUGGUUUCGUUUUCUUUCGCCCCACCCUACGCUUUCUUUGCUCGCUGCGCUUGCCUUCUCUCUCCUUCCUCUCUCUCUCUGUCUGUGUGUGCGUGUGUGUGUGUGUUUCCUGUAUGUAUCUUCUUUGAACUGUUCGCUCUCGUCGGCGUUGGUGUUCCGCCUUGUCCGUUGCUUCUUGGUCUCGUCUUUUUUUUUCUUGGGGGGUAAGGGUUCCUGGAAAGGCUGCGUCAAAACCCUCGGCUUGACUCGAUCUCCGCUCCCUCGCCUUCACCUCUCCCAUUUCACCGGCGCCUCCACUUUAUGCCUUUCUAGGCUCGCUCGCUCCCUCGCGAAACGCUCUCAGCCUCGUCGGUAUUUCCCGCUCACCCAUCCUCCCUCACAACAACACAAAAAAAAAGGCCAAAGCCUCAAGCGCAUAUCCCUCGUCGGUGUUCGGCAAAGGUCCUCCUUUUUCGUCUGUGUGUGUGUGUGUACACAGCGCGCUAAACAUCUCUCUCCUCCUCCGACUAUAAGCGAAUACAGACAUACUCGCGCACAGACAGGCACGCAUCGCUUGUCCGUCUGUCUGUGAGUGCGUGUGUGUGUGUGCAAAAAGACGUUGAGCAACAGUGGAACCACGAAAAAAAAAAAACUGAAGAGCGCUAGCCAUGGACGGCGUUGAUGCGGCGCUGCACCGCAGCAGUGCCGGGCAACCUUCCUCGCCAAUCGAGUUCAACGCCGACAGCGUGUACGCGCGUCACUUCACUGGAGGCGCAAGCAUGAAUGGCAGCAGCAACCUUAGUGCCAAUGUGUCGCGGCUGAUGACCUCGCCGCGGCCGCCUGCACCUCCUCAUGCGACAGCAUCUUCGAUAGCUGCCGUUGAGGAGCCCACGCUGCACGACGCAGCCAACGCACAUGCCGGAAUGAUUCCAGGUAUUGCGUCAGAGGAGGGGGAGCUAGAUCAGUUCGAUAUUGUUCUUCAGCAGGACGCGGCCGCUAGCAGUGGUAAUGCACAAGUGCCCUUCCGGAACCGCAGCCCGUCCAACACCGGCACACACUCGCCAUCUGGGGCCACCCCACCUUUGGCUGUCGGCGGCUACGCAGCCAGCACCGGCAGCAGCGGUCUUGUUGUCUCCUCGACCGCCCACUACAGUGGCGGUGCAGGAAGCAAUCAGCGCUGCAGUCCUAGUGUCCUGUUCCAGGGCGCCGCGAGGCGCCUGCCUUCUGUGGCUGGUGCGUGUCAAGCAUCCGCCAUCACCCAAGAUAGAGACCAAUGUGCUCGACUCAUCCACCAGAUGGCGUCUGCGUGCCGCGGCGAGCUGCACUUGCACGGGUACAGCGGCAGUGCUGGUGGCAGCACGACGUCCGUAGCCUCCCCCGGCGGAGAUCCACGAGCGACAAGCUCGCCAGCUGCACAGCAGCCCUCCACCGCAUCCGCUGCGGCUGCUGUUUCCGGGCUCGAUCCGCACAUCUUUGAAGAGGAGCUGAGCCUGCUCACUGGCAUCAUACUGGAAGCAAACAUGGCCCACAACCCGCAGUGGCAACCUCAGUUUGCACACCGCAGUAACCAUCAUGCCAGCAGCAACAGCAACGGCGGCUACAUCUCUCCACCACACGGUAUGCUGAGAGCCUCGCCGCGCAGCGGUGGUGGCGGAGCCCAAUCCCUAGCAACAGCGCCAGCGGCGGCAACGGUGACCACGGCAGCAAGUCUGCUCGGCGCAAGUGCCGGCGUGGCUGCCCGCUCCCACUCACGUGGAUCUCCUGCCGGCGGUGUGCCCGGGGCACAUCUCGCGUCGAACUACUUGACGAGCGUCACGGCCAGCAACAUCAACAACGACGGCCGCUCAACGAUCGACACCGAAGUGAGCGACUCGCUGUGCCGCAUCUCCCAUCUCGGCGGCGUCGGCUCGAACUACCACAUGUACAUGAUGGAGCAUGGUGUCCGCCCCAUGAACCCCUGUCAAGGUGCCGCUCCGCUGUCGGGUGCCACGGGCGGAGGCGUUCGGAGCAUCUCUCAACUGCAGCAGCAUCAGCAGGCAUGGACGGCGCUCAUGCACGAAAGUGUUAGCAAUCCAGGUCACCUCGAUCGUGCUGCGAUUGCCAGCCUUACUGGUCAAGCCUCUCGGCGGCCGAGUGGCAGCGCGGCACGUAGCACCAGCGCCACCGUCAAACACCCUCGUGCGGUAAAGCCGGAGGUGAGCAGCGACGGCGGCCGCAUCCGUGGCCCACGCAGUCGCACAGGCAAGAACGUGGCACCCAGCAACCACUCCGCUUUCUCCGAGUGCUCCGGCGGCGAAACACGCAGCUGCCGCUCCACCCUCACUGGCGCGCACCGCGUGCUCUCCUCCUCGGCGAACGCAACGACCAACACAUCCUUGUCCAGCAGCGUCUUCCACCAGAUCCAGGUAGACCACGGGAUGUCCAUGAACGGUGGUAACGGCCGCACCAACAACGCAUAAAAAGGUCCAGCGUGCGUGCCCCUCCCCAUGUCCCCGGUCUACCCGCCUCCCCGCCCCGCCCAUUACCACGUGCGUGUGCGCACAUGCACGCCCGUCUUAUACACCGUAGAAGAGGAGACGGUGAAAGAGAGAGGGAAGCGACAACGUUUGAAGAAGAAGAAGCGACGGGUGGCGGCGAAUAUGAAGCGCUAGACGGUAAUAAAAAGGCCUGGCGAAGACGCAAACGGCGUCAUCCGCUACCAGCAGAGAGACAGAGGAAGAGUGGGGCGCACGCGAGGCGCAGAAGAGAAAUACAAGGGUAGCGACGACGGAGCGGUAGACUGUACGGCAUGAGUGUCUGCCGCGAAGAAGGAUGGAUGGGCAACAUCCCAACGGAGGAGAGAGCACGAAAAGAAGUGCGCCCCCCGCCACACACACACCUUUUUCACUUCGUUACGAUCUUGGAUGUGUUCUUUCGCGAAAACUCUGCGCCUGCGUCUGCGUGUGUGCUUGACUGAGCGGAAGCGGGCAGUGGAAAAAGGUUAACGUGCGACUCAGUGCGCGUGCUGGAGAGAGGGAAGUGGGGGGAAGGAACGCUUCAAGCCCUACUUUUAUUGACGUUGUUUCGUCUCUUUUGUUGUUGUUGCGCCUGCGGUUAUGAGGUCGCUCCGCCCAACACCACCCUCCCCUUCCCCUCCCCUGCUCACAACCCCCUCCAUCCCACCCCUCAUUUCGCUCCCCCACUCGCCCGUCGCCUGUUUUUCCCCCUCUCCCAUGGGAGCCUUCUUGUCCCGUGUCUUGCCCUUUUCUCGCUCUCUCACCCCCCUCCUCCCCUUUUUCCCAUCUUCCUCAGCUCUCCCAGUACGAUACACACAUUCCCCCCCCCCUCUCUUCUCGGUGCGCUGACUCACUCCCCUCCCCUCCUCUCUCUCCUAAGCAUGCAAUCGCUAUCUUUCUCGUCCGGUCUCCCUAGCUCCUUCCCUCUCUACAGACACGCAUCUACGGCGGAACUGCCUGUCGUCAUGUGUGCUGGAGAAGGAGAGGGCAGAAGGGUAGCAAAGAAAUGAGCGGCAAGGUGUGGAUGUUGACAGAGAGGUGGAAAACAUUUCGUUUAAGGUGCUUCAGUGGAGCCGAUAGAGCCCCAGGGCAUAGUCGGGCUGGACGGGCGGAUACGGCCGGAAGGUUGAGCUAUAGACUGUAGUUGUAGAAGAGGCGAUAAGGGCGCAAGACGUUUCUCUCUUUUGCGCACGUAUGUAUGGGUGUGCGUUUGUGUGCCCCCCCCCCUGCGCUGUGUGCAGGCCACCCUGCUCCCGUCCUCGGCUAUGUCCUCCUCCUCCUCCUCCUCUCUUUUGCUGCAUGGUCGUACCAGUGUGCAUGUGCGUGUUCUUUUUAUAUUUGCUUCACUGUAGCGCCCAUCUGUGUAUGUCGCUCAUGUGUGCGCGUCUCUGUCCGUUGGUGAGUCAGAGAGGGAGAGGGCAGCCCGAUGCGUAGCGCCCUUCCCCUCUUUUUCUUUCUCUCUUCUGCGCUUCUCCCCGAGCAGUGUUGUGCUGGUGAAGGGGGGAGAGGUGGGGGGUGGGUGGUUUUGCCACGGCGAUGGCACCGGCCUCCCCCCCCCAUCGUUUGCACCCGUGAUGAGGUGCGAACACACUCUCCCGACUUGUGUCUUUGGUGGGUUGGGUUCUUUGUGCGCUCUUUGUGUUGUUGUUGCUCUUGUUUUCUUCAUGUUCGGAAAUCAUGUUCGCCGUUCAUCGGCCUCCGUUUUGUUUUUCUUCCUUCAUCACCGCCGCCAUCAUCGCCUUCUCUGCCACUCACCCUUCCUCUACUGCCCCUUCCUUCUCAUUCUGCAUGUCCUUUGGUUGCGUGUUUGGGGGGAGGGGGUGUCCGGAUGGCUCUGCCCCUCCUCCCUCCUCCUGUCCUUCUCUCUUUCCCUUUUACCGUUUCUCGGUGGAUGUAUGUGUCUGUGAACUCCCUCCCUUUGUUGUUAACGCGUGCAGCCGACUUACUCAUACGCCUCGACUUGUCGCACAUGCGAGGGACGGCAAAUGAGAGAGAGACACGCACACGCGUGAGUACGUACACGAACGCCCCUCAAUGUGUGAGUGUGGGGUGUAUGUGUACAUAUAUAAGCUGGCACGCGUGCGAACACCAGAGAAGGUACAAGGGGCGAAGAGGGAGGGACGGACGGACGGAGAGAGGGGGAAAGCGGGCGUACGUAGUACACAACUGAAAAGAAAACGUUCCCUACACACACACACGCAUACACAUACACAUACACACAAUAUAUAUAUAUAUAUUACCUGCAUACACACCUACGUGGGCGCGUCGUCACCGCAUUCGGUUCUUUACCGAGACGACAAAACGAACAGAAAAAGAAGGCCGAGAGAAGGAGAAGUGAAAAGGCGUCGUUUGUUUUCUCCUUCUUGCCUCUCCCCCUCCUCCUCCUCCUCCUCUCCUCUCCUCUUUGUGGGCGUGGCUGUUAUCACCUUCGCUUCUCUCUCCUCCCCGUCGUCAAAGUAGGGGGAGGGCAGUCUACUCGUUGUUCUUCGUGAGCUCCUUGCUUGUCUGCCUCUCUUCAUCUGGAUCUCGUGCGUGUGCAUGUGUGCGUGUGUGUAUGUCUGUGUGAGCGUGUGACUUUUACCUUCCGAUGUUCCUUCAUCUCCGCUUUCCCGAUCUCCCCCACUGCCAUCCCCAUCUCCACCACCCCUCCACACACAUACAUGCACGCAUACACACCACCACGAUAUCUACUCCCCCCUCCUCCCUCUGGAUUUAUGCAG